AUGAGGCGACGGAAGAUGAAAAAUCAUCAUUUCGAUUUAGCCAACUUGGACCAUAAUAUAUCCUUUUGGUCAUUCAUAGUAUUCAUACACAUGUUUAUAACUUCCUUAAUCGGGUCAUAACAAAACUGGACAAAGCCCCGUUUACAAGUACCCGAACCCGUAUUCUUCUUGGUCCAUUUUUUUGUUAUGGAGUCGUAAUAAUUCUCUCCCCAUAGCCUUUCUAGUAACUUUGACUCGUCAACACCGUAUCUAGAUG
rnacentral:lncRNA from 1 species